CAUUUAAAUGAAAAGAGACUUUGUUGCAGGCAACAUGAUUAUAUGGAAAGAGACCUUAAUUAAUAUGUACUUCAAAGGCUGCGAAAAAUAUUCCGAACUUGUCAUUGCUGGACGAGCGAUUAUCUUCCAUGUGGAUUUUUUGUGACAACAAUUAACAAUAACAGCAAAUUGCUCUACAACAGUAUUAUAUAUUUUGGAAGAUUCAUUCAUUUAAGAAAACUCAUACGCACGAGUACUCAUUCAAGGAAUAAUAUUAUUGGAAUCAAAAGAGUUCUUCAAGAAAACUUUGUUGGCUUAUCAAGCAGAAAGACCUCCCAGACGAAUCCCAAGACAAGUGCUUAACAGAGUCAAGCAAGAGGAGACUUGUAUCAAAUUUUGAUAUGAGACGAUGCCAGCAAUGUCGCAAGAGACUUCUUCCACUACUUUUCAACGGGGUGCUCACGUUGAUAUACUAUGUAUGCAACGCUCUCUUCCUGCUCAGUUGAAUUCCUGGGCUGGCUUACAUGUUCCACUGGAUAGACAUGCGUGUGCAUCCGAGGCACAGUAACACAGUUGAGUUUAAGUAGCUACACACUUCGACUGCUUUGACUGCGAUUUUGUCAAUUUUCACUGAAAUAAAAAGGCUGCUGCUGUCCCGCCCGCUGGCUGCUGGCUGCGCAUUGAUGCCAGAAAUUCGAGCGAUGUCUCUGUCAAAUGUGUCUGCAACGUGAGCAUAUUUGCUUGGCACACCCUCUCGGCCCACUUAGACAAUCCUCCAUCUGCGCUCUAAAAUAUCAACGCCUUUUUGCUAUUUCCCAACUUGAAACACGGCAACUGCUGCCAGGAGACACACACACACACAUACAGAGACUCCAGACGGCUAAGGGACAAAAAAAUGGGCAAAGAUGCGACUUCGUUUUCAAUUGCAAGAAAUGCAACGCGACGUUGACGACGCCUUGUACCCUGUCCUUGUCAGAAUUUUCAUCGCUUACUCCAGCUCCAGCUCUAGCUGCAGACAGCCGCUGGGCUACAUCAAAGUCAAGUGACGCCCAAAGGUAGUACAGGGACAGGAGCUGGAAAAGAAGGGCUGCUUGCCUUAACUGGCUACAAGCAAACAGGGCGUUGUUGUUGACAAGCCUAUCCAUCGGCUGAUAGAUGCCGUCUUCCAAGUGAGCAGUGCGCUAAUUAAGGCGGCUGCCAUAAAGGUACAGGACACGGGAGGAGCACGCAACGGGCCGGGAAUAAAGCAAUCAACAAGUAAAGCUGAUAGCUCAGGUGUUAAGGGAAUGACAUCUUUGGAACACAAAGAGCGUCUUGAACUUUUAUUAUCCAGCAGGAGCAAAUAGAAAGUGAAUGCCCGUAAGUAUUACCCUUAUUGCUAUCGUAUUGAAUUACCUUGCACUAGCGAAUAUUACCCGGCUUUCGCCGCUUUAAGUUAAAUUAAGGCGCCCUACCUGUUCCAA